rnacentral:rRNA from 1 species
GAGUUUGAUCCUGGCUCAGGACGAACGCUGGCGGCGUGCCUAACACAUGCAAGUCGAGCGAUGCGUCGUCUUCUUCGGAAGACGGCAAUUAGCGGCGGACGGGUGAGUAACACGUGGGUAACCUGCCUCAAAGAGGGGAAUAGCCUCCCGAAAGGGAGAUUAAUACCGCAUAAUAUGUUUUAGUCGCAUGACUUUAGCAUCAAAGGAAUUUCUUCGGGAAUUCCACUUUGAGAUGGACCCGCGGCGCAUUAGCUAGUUGGAGAGGUAACGGCUCACCAAGGCAACGAUGCGUAGCCGACCUGAGAGGGUGAUCGGCCACAUUGGAACUGAGACAC